UCUCCGUUGGUGAACCAGCGGAGGGAUCAUUACCGAGUUUACAACUCCCAAACCCCUGUGAACAUACCUUACUGUUGCCUCGGCGGAUCAGCCCGCUCCCGGUAAAACGGGACGGCCCGCCAGAGGACCCCUAAACUCUGUUUCUAUAUGUAACUUCUGAGUUUACUGUACUGUAAUAAGUCAAAACUUUCAACAACGGAUCUCUUGGUUCUG
rnacentral:misc_RNA from 1 species